AAAAACUGUAUGACCAUUCGACCAACGACCCGCACCAAAUAUAUUUUAAUCGAAAUAUCUAACUUCAAUUUGUUCCUCAUUUCAGGCUUCCUGCUGGAUUUUUCAACUGGCCCUUAGGCCCUAAUUUCCAGGCCUUCGUGGCAGCCCAGCGAGACAGUAUGCUGAACAGAGAACCAGGGUCCAACGAGAACUACCACGCGGCUAGCAUGACAUCGACCUUAGAGAAUGGGAAGGUUGUCACCUCUAUCUACCAGAACGAUAAUGGAAAGAAGAAGGAAUUCACUAUCACUAACUAGACAGUGAAAGAUAAAAUCAUAUCUUGAAGAAUACUUAUGAAAAAGUCUUAAUACAUUCUAAUAAAACGGUUC